AUUGAACGCUGGCGGCAGGCCUAACACAUGCAAGUCGAGCGGAUGAAGGGAGCUUGCUCCUGGAUUCAGCGGCGGACGGGUGAGUAAUGCCUAGGAAUCUGCCUGGUAGUGGGGGAUAACGUCCGGAAAUGGGCGCUAAUACCGCAUACGUCCUGAGGGAGAAAGUGGGGGAUCUUCGGACCUUACGCUAUCAGAUGAUCCUAGGUCGGAUUAGCUAGUUGGUGGGGUAAAGGCCUACCAAGGCGACGAUCCGUAACUGGUCUGAGAGGAUGAUCAGUCACACUGGAACUGAGACACGGUCCAGACUCCUACGGGAGGCAGCAGUGGGGAAUAUUGGACAAUGGGCGAAAGCCUGAUCCAGCCAUGCCGCGUGUGUGAAAAAGGUCUUCGGAUUGUAAAGCACUUUAGGUUGGGAGGAAGGGCAGUAAGUUAAUACCUUGCUGUUUUGACGUUACCAACAGAAUAAGCACCGGCUAACUUCGUG
rnacentral:rRNA from 1 species